AGUGAACGCUGGCGGUAGGCCUAACACAUGCCAGUCGAACGGCAGCACAGUAAGAGCUUGCUCUUACGGGUGGCGAGUGGCGGACGGGUGAGGAAUACAUCGGAAUCUACUUUUUCGUGGGGGAUAACGUAGGGAAACUUACGCUAAUACCGCAUACGACCUACGGGUGAAAGCAGGGGAUCUUCGGACCUUGCGCGAUUGAAUGAGCCGAUGUCGGAUUAGCUAGUUGGCGGGGUAAAGGCCCACCAAGGCGACGAUCCGUAGCUGGUCUGAGAGGAUGAUCAGCCACACUGGACCUGAGACACGGUCAGACUCCUACGGGAGGCAGCAGUGGGGAAUAUUGGACAAUGGGCGCAAGCCUGAUCCAGCCAUACCGCGUGGGUGAAGAAGGCCUUCGGGUUGUAAAGCCCUUUUGUUGGGAAAGAAAAGCAGCAGGUUAAUACCCCGCUGUUCUGACGGUACCCAAAGAAUAAGCACCGGCUAACUUCGUG
rnacentral:rRNA from 1 species